CUGGUCGAUCAUUAAAGAAAGAAAGAUUACCUUUUGAUAAUUUAAAAAAAAAAAAAUCAGCCUUCGAGUGGAAAAAAAAUUGCUUUGGAGAACACAUGCUAGAUCCAAGCAUGUCAAAACGUGCUGAAACAAAAAUAUUGGCUAAUAUUUUUGUUUAAUAAGCUCUUCCUUCCUUCCUUAUGGAUUCCAAAUUUUAAACUGGAUUAGCCAAUCGGAAUUGUAGCGACGAUAAUUAAUAUUUUUUACUAAAUUUUCCUCAAUUGUUGGCAUUGAAGCCUUACACCUUUUAAGUCAAUUUUUACGAAAACUUAUUUUAAAGAAUAUAAAAAUAACUAAUCUAAUUAUUGGAAAAUAUUAAUAUUUAAAAAAAAGCAAAGGCUUAUGUCUGACAAUUAAAAUAACUAUUAUAUAUACACUAAAUAUUAUAAUACCACGUGUAAGAUCAUCCAUCCAUCCUUCCACAUCAGGCCUGCUGUACGGAGUUUUUGGAACUAAUUGCUACUGGAGCGCCUCCUUUCCCUUCACUGAUGUUGAGCCGGUUUUUUAUUACACCUUCCUUUGGGGGUAACCUCUUGGUCCUUACUUGUCUAUCGACUCAGACAAAUACGUGUAAGCAUGCAGGAAGAGGUCCCUGUUCGGACGCCAAUUAAUAAAUUAAUUAAUUAUUUUAUUAUUUAAAAAAGGUGUGCGUGUUGGAGUGCAACACGUCUUACUUUGUUAAUAUCAAAAACCGAACUAAUUUUAUAAAAUGCAUUUUGGUUUUAGCUUCACAUAAUAAUUCUAAAGUGCUGACGUAGUCCACCCGCCGAGUAAUGAGUGUGGGAAUGUUGAUUGUUGUCCAGUCUCAUCGACAUGUGUAAUAUGACGCUUGGAAUGUUCGUGCUGAUAUAUAUAUAUA